GGACCCUCAACUGCACAGUCAUCCACAUCACUAUCCCGCCAGACCUCACUCUAGACAGAAACGACACCUCUGACUCCAGGAAAGGUCAUAAACCGGAUGGAUAAGGACCGGAUGGCUGCUUGCCUGUGCUGGGUUACCUCCACCCCCCAAUCCCCUCCCCUGUUGCAAGUCUUGUUCAUGUUGUAGAGUGUACUGAUUAUGUGCUAAUGUUGCUGAGGUGUUUUUCCUGUUCCCACACUGUACUUCUUAAGGAGCACAGUCUUUUUUUCUCCUCACCUCUCCUCAAGUCAUGCUGUAUUUCUUUCUAGUUCCCUGUCUUCCUGUCCUG